rnacentral:lncRNA from 1 species
GUAUGCUUAUGAAUGUGAUUGGUCUAUUUACUCCAGUAGAGUAGUUUCUUUCAGUUUCUUUAGUUGCUGUUGUGCAGAAGCUGUUGGACAAGCAUUUUGGAGAUUUUGCUAGUUUUAUGGUUGUAUGAAUCCAAGGACCAUAGUUGUUAAAUUGAGAUUCAAACCAAGAAUUGAAAUCUUUCAUUUGUGAAUCAAGAAUCAAAUUGAACCAUAAAUUUGAUAAAAGUUCUCGAGACUAAUUCAAAAUGUUAGAUGUUCUAAAAAAACACAAUGACUUAUCUUGAGAAAUAUAGAAUCCUUGUUUAGCUAAUUAGAAGUGUGCUUUGUAAUAGAACAAUAUGUUGUUAUCAUGUUAUAAAUUUGAACUAUUGAUUAUAACAUAAUUGUCAUUGUGCAUGUGUUGAAAUUCUCAUUUAAGUUUGAUAAAAAAAAUUGAAUAGUAAAAAGAAUAGUAAGUUUUUUUAAAUGGUUAGUGUACAUUACCAUAAAUGCAUGGUUUUGAAAGCUGAACUGGACCAGCCAGUCAGAUAGGUUUAACUAGGAAGUAGGGACAGGAGCUUUGUCUAUGGAUCGGUCAUAAAACAGAAUAAACUGGCCAUACAUGUUGAAACUAUAGGGUAACUCUUUAAUAAUUGGUCAAUUCAUCUAAUUUACUAUAGAUUCUUUGUGCUCAGGCACAAUGCAUGUAUAUUUGCAAUUCGACUUAUUGAUGAAAUCGCUAGGAUGGGGAAUCAAAUUGAAUUGGGAAUUGUAAGAUUUUAAUAACAGUGCCAAGGACAACUAAUAUAUGCGAAAUGUGGUUUGCUUUUGGGGAACAAAAAUACACGAGAUCUAAACAAUGCAUAUUGCUAGACACCCUUGGAUUCUUGGGCAUCUGUCUAUGUUACAAAGUAUUGUAGUUUUUAAGUAAAAGAUACUUCAUGUGCAAGAUUGAUGGAUGGAUCCUACUGAUUUAUCAUUAUAUCUGUUGACAACAACCAAUUGGGUAAAAUGUGUGACUAUGCUAAUAGGAUGACCAUUCACUAUUCCUAAGAACCGUAAAAGUUUCUCCUUGCCCUUUUUUUUCCUUUUAGGGUACAUGUUGGCCAUAGGGAGAUGACGGUGGGGAGUUUUGGUUCAGGAUUGCCAUAGUUUCUUAACUUUGAUGGCAGAUUGGCAGUUGAUGUUCAAUCAUGAUAUAUGUAUAUGUAUACAUAUAUUUCUGUCAAAUAAAAUGAUAGGGUCCCUUGCAAUGGAUCUGGUUAUGGGUCUUUGGGGUGGAGGUGUGGAAUUUGUGGAGGAAGGUGGAUUGAGAAUUUUCUUCUUUCUACCUAUGAUGAAAUAAAUAUAAGCUCAUUAGAGAGGACUUAAAAAUCUCCUGAGUUGAGUACUCAAUUACUUUUUUAGAAAAUUUUGUUCAUGUUUCCUUUGUUGAUCUUCUGAACUUUAAAUAGACAAUGGAGAAUAGCCAUUUCCUAUAAACGGGGAAAACAUUGAGGAUCACCCUCCUAUAACUAUGGAAUUCAAAUAACUGAAAGACACUAAUAACACCACUAUUUACAUCAUGACUAACAAUUAAAACAUGGAGAACAUGGCAGUAACUUGAUUGUUUAAGCACUAAGUCCAUGGCGGUAGCAUCUCAACUGUCAUUGAUCUUGCUGACCUGGUUGUCUUGCAUCCCUUUCUUCUUUCCAUGAGUGAACUGUUUGUAUGAAGAAUUUUGGGGAAAUUUUUGAGUAUUCUUGUAUUUCACUCUUAAUCUUUACAAUUGGUCUACAUGACUAUUUAUACACAGAGAAUCAUAUCUAAACAGGAAGCAAAUAAUCAAAUAAUAAUUACAGAGAUAAUUAAGGAUCCUAAUCAGAUCAAAUCAAAUCUCUAGAAUCAGCUAGAAUUAGUAAAUAAGUCAACACUCCCCCUCAAGUUGGUGCAAAGAUGUCACACAUGCCCAACUUGCAAAUCAGAUUAUUGUAGAUCUUGUUGUUAAGUCCUUUAGUAAACACAUCCGCAAGUUGCCCCGUAGAAGUCACAUGAACUAGGCUCAAGACAUCGUCUAUUAAUUUUUCUUUAAUGAAGUGCCGAUCAAUUUCAAUGUGCUUGGUUCGGUCAUGUUGGAUUGGAUUUUGUGCUAUACUUAUAGUAGCUUUAUUGUCACAAUACAAUGUUAUCUUGUCUCUCUCGAACAAUCUCAACUCUUCCAAUAACUUCUGCAACCAUAAGAGUUCACAUACUCCUUGGGCCAUUGCUCUGUAUUCUGCUUCUGCACUUGACCGAGCAACAACACUUUGUUUUUUGCUCCUCCAGGUGACAAGGUUUCCCCUCACAACUGUGCAGUAGCCAGAGGUGGAUCUCCUGUCAUCGAGAGAUCCUGCCCAAUCUGCAUCUGUAAAAGUUUCAAUUCGGAGGUGACCAUGUUUGGAGUAAAGAAGCCCUUUCCCUGGCGCAGACUUUAGGUAUCUCAAGAUGCGAAGUACAGCUUGCAUAUGAGUCUCGCGAGGGUCAUGCAUGAAUUGGUUGACUACGCUAACAACAUAGGCUAUAUUCGGUCGAGUGUGUGAGAGAUAAAUCAACCUUCCUACCAAUCUUUGAUAUCUUCCAAUAUCCACGGACUCACCAGUUCCUGCUUUCAGCUUGUGAUUGCUUUCAAUGGGAGAUUCUGCUGGUUUACACCCCAUCAUACCAGUUUCUUUCAAAAGAUCCAGAAUGUACUUUUUUUGGGAGAUGAAAAUUCCUUUUUCUGAUCUAGCCACCUCGAUACCUAGAAAAUAUUGCAGUUUUCCCAGAUCUUUGAUUUCAAAUUCCUGGGCCAACAACCUCUUUAGUUGAGCCAUUUCCUCUUUGUCAUCACCUGUCACCACUAUAUCAUCAACAUACACAAUAAGAAGGGUGAUUUUACCCUUAUGAUGUUUGAUAAACAGAGUGUGAUCAACAUUGCUUUGUUGGUAACCAAAGGAUAUCAUGGUUCUGUUAAACUGUCAAAACAAGCUCUGGGAGAUUGUUUUAGCCCAUAUAAAGCCUUUUUUAACCUGCACACCUUUCCUUGUGUCUUCUCAUCAGCGAACUCAGGAUGAAUUUCCAUGAACACUUCUUCCUCUAAAUCUCCAUGGAGGAAAGCAUUCUUCACAUCAAACUGUUGCAAGUCCCAGUCCAAGUUGGCUGCGCAAGAUAACAAAACUCUGAUUGAGUUCAUUUUUGCAACUGGGGCAAAUGUCUCUUGGUAAUCCACUCCAUAGGUUUGGGUGAAUCCUUUAGCAACCAAUCUGGCCUUAAACCGUUCAAUUGUGCCAUCAGCUUUGUGUUUCACUGUGAACACUCAUUUACAGCCAACUAGUUUCUUCUCUGGUGGGAGAGUGACAAGCUCCCAAGUCUCAUUUUUAGCCAAUGCUUUCAUCUCUUCAAUCAUUGCUUUCUUCCAUUUAGGAUCUGCAAGAGCUUUCUUCCAAUCCUGUGGGAAUAGACACAGAGGAAAUAGACAAGGCAAAGGCUCUAUAGGAAGGAGAUAAAGAUUCAUAAGAAACAAAGUUAGAAAUAGGGUGUUUAGUGCAAGAUCUGACCCCUUUUCUUUGUGCAAUAGGUUUAUCUAAGUCAUUGAAACAUUCAAGAGUUGUGGGUAACUCACCAGAAGAAAGAGUUGUGGGUAACUCAUCAGAAGAAGAUUCAUGACUGGGUAACUCACCAGGAGAAGAUUUUUGACUCUGAGUAGACUGCAUAAUGGCUUCUUCUGCCUUGUCUCUCCUUGAAUACCUUCUCAAAUCUGGCUUGUCCAAACGACCAGUUCUCUCUCCCUGAUUGGACAUCUCCCCCUGUCUACUAGAACUCAAACUUUCUAGUUGAACCAUAUCAUUUAGAAUCACAGAAUUCGGGAUCACCUCUUCUUGCUCAUUAUUCUCCCCCUGAAGAGUGAGUGGGUGGUACUGAAGUAGGGUUCAGUUUCUCGGAAGGUAACAUCCAUACUAACGAAGUAUUUCCUAGAGGGAGGAUGAUAACACUUGUAUCCUUUCUGUGUUAGAGAAUACCCAACAAACACACAUUUAAGGGCCUUGGGAUCCAGUUUUCUUGCCGUCCUAGUAUGGACAAAGCAAACACACCCAAAUACUUUUGAUGGAACAAUGUAUGAAUUCUUCCCUUGUAGAACCGCCAAAAGACUCAUAAAGUCAAGGGUCUUGAGAGGCAUUCUAUUGAUAAGAUAAGCAGAUGCAAGAAUUGCAUCUCCCCAAUAUGCUUUGGGUAGAUUCAUGGUGAACAUAAGAGAUCGAGCUACCUCCAAUAGAUGCCUAUUUUUCCUCUCAGCAAUGCCAUUUUGAGCACUAGUAUAAGGACAACUAGUCUGGUGUAUUAUCCCAUUACUCUCCAAAUAAGCAGAAAAGCUACUAUCCAUGUAUUCUCUUCCAUUGUCAGUUCUCAAAAUUUUCACCUUAGUAUCAAAUUGAGUACAAACCAUCUUAUGAAAGGAUUGAAAACAAGAAAAGACAUCACUUUUAGCUUUAAUCAAAUAGACCCAAGUCAUUCGAGUACAACAAUCAAUAAAGGUGACAAACCAUCGAUUACCAGACAAGGAGACAGUUUGAGUAGGCCCCCAAACAUCAGAAUGAAUAGUCGCAAAAGGAAUUUGACUUUUAUUAUGACUCGAAGGAUAGGAUGUUCUAGUGUGUUUAGCAUACUCACAAGCAUCACAAAAUAGAGAAUCAAACUGAGUUCUAGCAAACAAAUUAGGAUAAAGUUUUUCUAAGGCAAAGAAUGAUGGAUGCCCUAACCGUCUGUGCCACUGUAUUAUUUCCUGAUUGACAUCCUUAUUUUCUUGAGAUAUCGAAGAACCUGGAUCACCCUCCAACAUAUAUAAGCCAUCAUGCAGUCUACCAUUGCCAAUCCUCUUUCCUGUGUGAAGAUACACAAUGAUCAGGAAAGAAUUCAAUUUUACAAUUAAGGGCAUUGGUGAUAGCACUAACAGAUAAAAGGUUGACAAGAAAGUGGGGAACAUGGAGGACAGAUGAUAAUUUAAUAUUGGAUGUGCAAAUAACAGAACCUGUUCCGUAUAUGAGAGUAAAAGAGCCAUCAGCAAUUUUGACACUAUCUUUGGUUAGGGAAGGAAAAUAAUUGAGAAAGCCUUUAGAAGAACCUGUCAUGUGUCUAUUCGCACCAGAAUCGAUAAUCCAUGGAAUAUUAUGAAGAGUUCAGCAUUACCUGACUUUACAAAGUCAGAUGUGGCACUAAAGAAUGAGGAAUCAGAGUUAAGAAUCGAGACUCUUUUACCUUCUGCUAUCGACACUCUUUUACCUUCUGUCAUUGACACCCUUUUACCUUCUGCCAUGAUAAAGGUUUAUAAACUGUGACAGAAUAGGAGGUAUCCAAGGUUGUACACACAAGAGAGCCCAAUCGAUUCACCAAAAAAGACCGGGUAGCAGCACGGGAAGGCCGGAAAGAUGAUCGUAAUCGUCGUCGGAGUGAUCGGAGCAGCAAAGUAGUGACAGACAGACGAUGGGUCACACGCCGGGAAGCGACGGGUCACGCGCCGGGAAGGGGUGGCGCGUGAGCCUCACGCGCAGGCUUUUCUGGCGUCGGAGCUGGUUGAUCGGCCGGCGGCAGUCCGGCGGUUCUCAUGGUGCCGGCGGUGAGAGAUUGAGAGGCUCCUAAAUGGGUUAGUACCAAAAAGGUAGAUCUAGGGUUUUAAAACCCUAAAGAGGGAAAAUUGAAUUUGGACCCAAAAAAUAGGAAAAGGCUCUGAUACCAUGAAGAAUUUUGGGGAAAUUUUUUAGUAUUCUUGUAUUUCACUCUUAAUCUUUACAAUUGGUCUACAUGACUAUUUAUACACAGAGAAUCAUAUCUAAACAGGAAGCAAAUAAUCAAAUAAUAAUUACAGAGAUAAUUAAGGAUCCUAAUCAGAUCAAAUUAAAUUUCUAGAAUCAGCUAGAAUUAGUAAAUAAGUCAACAAUAUAUAAUCAAGGGCUUGCAAACAUAAAACUUGAAAAAAUUAUUUCCCUAUCCUAAUUUAUAUAUUAAUCAUGAUGGCCAAAUUAAAAAAGCAAAAGAAAACAAUUAAAAUUAUAUUUCUCAAAGUAUUAUUUUUAUCAUAAUUUUUUAUGCAAAAGAUAUAUUAAUUUAAGC